AAACAAACAUGCUUGUUCUAUACUAGGACCCCAAGCUAGAUAUGCUAUUAUAAUGUUGCUGUUGUAUUAAGAACUAUAACUUUACAGAGUAGCUUGUCAUUGACUCUUUUAUGUACUGAUUAUAGCACAUUUCUUGGUGUCCAAAUGAAGUUCAUAAAUCCUUAGUGACUGUUAAAUUAAAUAAUUUACAAUACCAGUUUCUCUGGUAAAUUCUCACUGGAUUUGUGUGUGAACUGAACAUUUUAUCUCAUGUCUGUCAUUUUGGUUUUAUGUCAGUGAGAACUCAAUUGCUGUUGAUAGCGAACAUUGCAAAGCCUCUUGCUUAGCUUCUCUGUGGCUAUACUAACCUUCCAAAGCAGUUACAUGACUAACUUGAUUAUCACAGGGAUGAGGACCAUAGGCACACACUUUUAACAUUUAAGAGAAGAUGCGGCUAACAAGAGGUCCAAGAUAAUACUAGGUGCAAGGCAAAAGCCCUUUUUUGGAGACACUUGAGGAGGUGGUCCUCCUAGGUCCUAGCUCUGGAGAGAGGGACAUGGAAGACGGGCAGGGUGAGGUGAGACUCAAAUCCACCAGGUGACCCAGACGAUGGCAAACUUUUAUCACCAAGCUCCUCCGUUCACCCUCAUUUAUUUUUCCAUGGCACAUCUUUUUCCUUUGAAUAAUCCAAUAUUCCAAUCCAAUCUUAAGAUCCUUUUUGGUAGAACAUUUUUCUUGUUUUGAUCACUACUAAAUAAAGAAUCGCAUCGAUUGAUGCUGCUGUGUUCACUAGGUAAACACAAACGACCAUAUAUAAUCAUAACAGAAAUUACAUAAUGUCAUAGAAAAUUUAUACUCAAAUUUCCACCUUGGAGAUUGUAUUGAUGUCCUAAAUGACAAUGAAUGUCAUUGAAAUAUCAUACUUUGGCAUCAGAGGAGAAUGUGCCUCCAUGACCUCGUUGGAGCAUCCUUUGGACCUUUGACCCUUUUAGUGCCUUGGAGAAUAUGAUCUGAAAGAUUUGUGUUUGACUUUUUGCAUGAUACGUCGCGUUGUUGGGACUUGGGCAAGAGUAGUUGGGAGCAACCUGAUGGGACUGGACUGAAAAGAGCUCGGCAGCAAGGUUCUGGGCUUCUCGCAUCUGAAAAAGAAAAAAAAAACAGCACGGGAGCUGUUGCACCAGUUGCACUGCCCAAUUGGGGCCGGAAAAGCAAGGGAUAUGCAUGCUUUGAUGCAGUGAAAACUGCAAAUCUGUCUGGAUGAUGGCAUGGAUGGUGUGCAACAGUGCAGGUGGCUGCAGGUAGGGCUGAUCAUGGUAGACUUUGCCAUCUGCCCAUCUGGGAGAGCAGAUCAGGGAAGCUUCCAAUUGUUUGGAGCUGGGAGAUGGCGCAGGCGGCACGUGAAGCAAUGGCAGGCGUUUCGGCAUCUGUGGGGUGGAGGAGAAGAGAGGGAGGAGAUCCAGCCAUGCGCCAUGCAGAACGGGACAGGAGGGAUGAUUGCCAAGUCGGCCCUGUCUCGUCUCUGUCGCCCAGAGCUUUGCCUUUGCGUGUGCGCGUGCACACAGGCCCGGGACGUGGGACGUCCAGAGAUCGCAGAUGGGUGGUGGCCUGGUGGGGGUGGGUGGCCUCAGGCGAGUACGAGUAGGAAGGAUUAGCAGUGUAGCGCUAGCAGGAAGAAACGCCUCAUUACAUACGUUGAUCUAGUGCCAUCUCUUAAAUGCUACUCCAUCUCCAUCUUAAAAAUGUAGGGUACGGUUUGGCUAGACGUGAUCUCUAAAGCCAUAACUUUUGACUGCUAAUAUCUUAAUUGAAUUGCUCAUGAUUAACCAUCUGCAUGCUAAGCUAUGGAUAAUUUAGUUAUUGGUCAAAAUUAAGAAUUUUUGGAUAUCGU